GAUCCUGACUCAGGAUGAACGCUAGCUACAGGCUUAACACAUGCAAGUCGAGGGGCAACAUGGUCUUAGCUUGCUAAGGCCGAUGGCGACCGGCGCACGGGUGAGUAACGCGUAUCCAACCUGCCUUACACUCUUGGACAGCCUUCUGAAAGGGAGAUUAAUACAAGAUGUUAUCAUGAGUAAGCAUUUUCGCAUGAUUAAAGGUUUACCGGUGUAAGAUGGGGAUGCGUUCCAUUAG
rnacentral:rRNA from 1 species